rnacentral:rRNA from 1 species
UUCCUACGGGAGGCAGCAGUCGGGAAUAUUGCGCAAUGGAGGGAACUCUGACGCAGUGACGCCGCGUAUAGGAAGAAGUUUUUCGGAAUGUAAACUAUUGUCGUUAGGGAAGAGAAAGGACGGUACCUAAGGAGGAAGCCCCGGCUAACUAUGUGCCAGCAGCCGCGGUAGUACAUAGGGGGCAAGCGUUAUCCGGAAUUAUUGGGUGUAAAGGGUGCGUAGACGGAAGAACAAGUUGGUUGUGAAAUCCCUCGGCUCAACUGAGGAACUGCAACCAAAACUAUUCUCCUUGAGUGUCGGAGAGG